CCCUGGUUAGCUCAGUUGGUAGAGCGCUCCACUGGCAGUGGAGAGGUCCCGGGUUCAAUACCCAAACCAGGCG
rfam:Ixodes scapularis strain Wikel colony gcontig_1108379861928, whole genome shotgun sequence.